GCUUCCAUGGCUCAGCUGGUAGAGCAACGCAUUCGUAAUGCGUAGGUCAGGGGUUCGAAUCCCCUUGGGAGCU
rnacentral:tRNA from 1 species